rnacentral:lncRNA from 1 species
AUCGGGUAUUUCAUUGGGUCCCUAUCAGGUUUCGGAUCCGAAUUUGAGAGCCCCUUCGGAUCCUACCCAUUAAAAGGCUGGAUUUGUAUCGGGUCAAAGUUGGGUAUGAUUAUAAAGUAUCCGGACCUAUACCCAAAAUUUUAAUAUGUAAUUUUUUUAUCCGUAUACUAUCUAUUUUUUAUUUAGUCCAGACUAGAUAUAAAAUAUCGGGUAUCUUGGACAACUUUAGUUUUGAGAGCAAUAUAGAUAAUUAUUCUUUUAAAAAAAUAAAAAUGAAUGGAUAU